CCGCGACCCCAGGUCAGGCGGGAUCACCCGCUGAGUUUAAGCAUAUCAAUAAGCGGAGGAAAAGAAACUUACGAGGAUUCCCCUAGUAACGGCGA
rnacentral:rRNA from 1 species